GUCACAUCAUGCUUAUGGCACAGGACUGCUGCCUGAACCCAUGCACCCUCUGACAUGAAAUACCAUGAUGACUCAUGAGUAUUUGCAGAUUGUGUUUCUGCAGUUCUCAGCAGGAUGGAAGCAUCACAUAAAAGAGAAACCAGCAAACCAGAAAGCAGAAGGAUAUAAGAAAAGAGAAGGAAAAUGCCACGGACCCAGAAAGCACAUAAAAUCGUGUUUUUGUGUGUGCGUGCGUGUGUGCGUGUGUGUACGUACACAUGUGCAGGCAUCUUUCACUCACCUACAGAUUGUAGCACUCCAAUUUCUGGAUAAGAGAGAUUUCCUGAACAGGAGUCCAGGGUCCAUGUCCUGCCCCUGUGUAGGCACACACCCUGAAAGAGAUGUUGGACAGUGGGGCAG